rnacentral:tRNA from 1 species
GGCGGCGUAGCUCAGUUGGUAGAGCAGCGGAAUCAUAAUCCGUCUGUCGGGGGUUCGAAUCCCUCCGCCGCUACCA